GCCACUGUCAUCGGCUCUUCUCCAAGAGCCAGCCAGGGCUGAUCCUAUUCUUGCUUGAAGAGAACAUUAAGCAACCGUUCCAGACCAAACAAGCCUGCCAGCUCAUUGAAGACAGUCUUUGAUUCUAAGGACCCCGUUCCUAUUACCACUAUCCUGCUCAUCCCCAUAACACAUCUGGACAGUACUUCUGCUGAAAAACACAAUCGUGUGAAGCUUAGCCCUUUACAGAAUGGUGUAGUGACAAUUCUUGUGCAAGGAAUACAAACAACUGCUUGUCACGACCAAUACACUCAGCAAAAGCACUGCUGGAAGAACGUGGUAUGAUAAACGUCUACAAGAAGAUUCAGCUUACAGGAGAUAACAGCAAAGUGCUGCCCUUGCCCAGAAAAGGCAGGCCAGUUUCAUUUGUGGGCUGAGCGAUGAUACAGAAUAUGCCCAGCUCAGCAGAAAAUAAUAUUUACACAACGCAUAAAGUCUGCAUUGUAGCCAAGAACACCACAGUGCAAUAAAACUUAUGGACAUUUUUCACC